rnacentral:misc_RNA from 1 species
ACCCUGAAGAAAGACUCCCUUCCGAUUAGUUAGUUGGAGAGGUAAAAGCUCCCCAAGGCGACGAUCGGUAACUUGUCUGAGAGGACGAUCAGCCACACUGGGACUGAGACACGGCCCAGACCCCUACGGGAGGCAGCAGUGGGGAAUUUUCCGCAAUGGGCGAAAGCCUGACGGAGCAAGACCGCGUGGGGGAAGAAGGCUCUUGGGUUGUAAACCCCUUUUCUCUGGGAAGAAAGUUGUGAAAGCAACCUGACGGUACCAGAGGAAUCAGCAUCGGCUAACUCCGUGCCAGCAGCCGCGGUAAGACGGAGGAUGCAAGCGUUAUCCGGAAUGAUUGGGCGUAAAGCGUCCGCAGGUGGCAGUUCAAGUCUGCUGUCAAAGACCGGGGCUUAACCUCGGAAAGGCAGUGGAAACUGAACAGCUAGAGUACGGUAGGGGCAAAGGGAAUUCCUGGUGUAGCGGUGAAAUGCGUAGAGAUCAGGAAGAACAUCGGUGGCGAAGGCGCUUUGCUGGACCAUAACUGACACUCAGGGACGAAAGCUAGGGGAGCGAAUGGGAUUAGAUACCCCAGUAGUCCUGGCCGUAAACGAUGGAUACUAGGUGUUGUCUGUAUCGACCCGGACAGUGCCGUAGCUAACGCGUUAAGUAUCCCGCCUGGGGAGUACGCACGCAAGUGUGAAACUCAAAGGAAUUGACGGGGGCCCGCACAAGCGGUGGAGUAUGUGGUUUAAUUCGAUGCAACGCGAAGAACCUUACCAGGACUUGACAUGUCGCUAAUCCUCUGGAAACAGAGGAGUGCCUUAGGGAGCGCGAACACAGGUGGUGCAUGGCUGUCGUCGGCUCGUGUCGUGAGAUGUUGGGUUAAGUCCCGCAACGAGCGCAACCCUCGUGUUUAGUUGCCAUCAUUAAGUUGGGCACUCUAAACAGACUGCCGGUGACAAACCGGAGGAAGGUGGGGAUGACGUCAAGUCAGCAUGCCCCUUACGUCCUGGGCGACACACGUACUACAAUGGUAGGGACAGAGGGCAGCCAACCCGCGAGGGCGAGCUAAUCCCGUAAACCCUGCCUCAGUUCAGAUUGCAGGCUGCAACUCGCCUGCAUGAAGGCGGAAUCGCUAGUAAUCGCAGGUCAGCAUACUGCGGUGAAUCCGU